rnacentral:lncRNA from 1 species
UGCUCAUACAAGAUACCAGGGAUCUUUCCUCCCCUGGUCUUCUCUCUCCCUCUUUGUUGAUAGCCACUCAACUGCCAUGUGCUGGGGAUCCCUCCUCCUAAAUCUUUUGUCUUCAGCCAUAUCUCUUCAUCCCUGUCCACCCCCAACUUAGUUUAGGCUGCCACCAACUCUGGCUUGGAUCCCUUCUCACUUGUCUGUCUGCUUCUAGCCUGGGCCCCCAUCCCCUCGUCUCAUUCCAUUCCCUACUGGGCAGCCAGAACCAUCUUUUUCAACCACAGACAGAUCAGACCAGCGUCCUUCCUGCUUCAAACUCUGCAUGGUUCUGUUUACCUAGAGCAGUGGCCUCCAAAAUAAGGGACUGACAAACUGGGGGCAAUGAAGAAUGAUCCCCUCGAGUAUGAGAAGAAGGAGGAAAAAGCAAACAUCCCUUUGGAAACCGCCGGAUGGGUUUGCACCAGGAUUAGAUCCAUAUGAUGGUCAGGCAGAGCCUCCCAGAGCCACCAAGGACAGUAAAAGCCCCAAGAGACAAUCAGCAGCUGAGGAGAGGGAGGACAGCCGAUCUCAGCUUCAAUAACCUUGCCGUGGGCUACAACCUGGAACUGCAGGGCUCAUGGGCUAUCAGAUGGAGCGGCCAGCAGGGGAGGGCAUGGGAGGCUGUGAUGCUGUGUUUGCGUGGGGGACCCUCUGCCUUUUCCCACUGUCUGUAUGUCAUGAUGUUAAAAAUGGUGAAGAGGAAGCCUGGCAGGAAAUGCCUUUGAAGGGGACACAGGAGCAUGCACCCCCCACACAAACACAUUAAGGCAUGAGGGACGAAGCAGUUAACUCAUCAACACAUAAACUGAAGUUCAAAUGCAGCGACUUUGAAAGGCCCCACGUGGACAGGCUGGGAGGCCAAUGUAUGGUUCACCCCACAGAAGGAGAAAAGCAGCACAGUGUAGGGUAGCACUGCCCAGCAGAAAUAGAAUGCCUACCUCACCUGCAACGUACAAUUUUCUGGCAGCCACAUUGUUUUUGAAAGUUUAAAAUUUGUUUCAAAUUUAUUUACAUUGAAUUAAUCAAAUAAGUCUUUUGUGAUUCUUUUAUUUCUUCAGUUCCUGUAAUUAU